rnacentral:rRNA from 1 species
UAACGGCGAGUGAAGCGGCAACAGCUCAAAUUUGAAAUCUGGUCCCCAGGGCCCGAGUUGUAAUUUGUAGAGGAUGCUUUUGGCGAGGCGCCUUCCGAGUUCCCUGGAACGGGACGCCACAGAGGGUGAGAGCCCCGUCUGGUCGGAUGCCAAGCCUAUGUAAAGCUCCUUCGACGAGUCGAGUAGUUUGGGAAUGCUGCUCAAAAUGGGAGGUAUAUGUCUUCUAAAGCUAAAUACCGGCCAGAGACCGAUAGCGCACAAGUAGAGUGAUCGAAAGAUGAAAAGCACUUUGAAAAGAGGGUUAAAAAGUACGUGAAAUUGUUGAAAGGGAAGCGCCUAUGACCAGACUUGGGCCCGGUGAAUCAUCCAGCGUUCUCGCUGGUGCACUUUGCCGGGCACAGGCCAGCAUCAGUUUGGCGCGGGGGACAAAGGCUUCGGGAAUGUGGCUCCCCUCGGGGAGUGUUAUAGCCCGUUGCGCAAUACCCUGCGCCGGACUGAGGUACGCGCUCCGCAAGGAUGCUGGCGUAAUGGUCAUCACGACUAC